CUUGAUGGAGCCCAGCAGCAGCGGCCGCUCCUCGCUCUUCUCCUUGCCGUAGGUGGCCAGCAGCGCCUGCGCCUC
rnacentral:antisense_RNA from 1 species